AGAAGACGGUUUGGUUUGGAGAUGGCAUCAACAACAACAACAACUGAUAAUUCAGCGUUUUCUAAGUGGAUUAUACUCGCAGCAUUUUGAAUUUGUCACAGAAAUUGAUAAGAACUUCACAGUAAGGUGCACUUUAUGUGCUGGUGGGAGGCCGAGGGAACUGUCUACGGCUAAAAAUAGUACAAGUAACCUCAAGAAACACCUGGAGAGAGUGAACAGCAGCCUCAAGCUAGCGGCUAAACGACCUCUUGCUAGUAAACAAGUGGAAGAUGACGGCGCGAGCAGAUCUAAACAACGACAGCUGGAUUUCUCCAGACCAGAGGUGAAGAUGCUUGACCCAGGAGAAGUGAGAAGGCUGGUGGCUGAGUAUGUCUUGGAGGAUGUGCUGCCUCUUUCUACAGUUGAGUCACCGGCGUUUCAAAAGCUUGUCUGCAAAGUCCCUGUUCGAUCAAGUGAGAAGACAAGCUGAUGAUCACAUCUGCGCAUCCCUGGAUUUUAAUUACGCGAUGUGUGCCUUUGCCCAGAAACUGGCGAGGGAAAAACAUCUGGUUAAAGCCUUCCAUUGUCAGACGGUGUCUCGCCAAUUAGAGGAAGAGGAGCCUUGGAGAGCUACCCUGCUAUGUCUUCCCUACAUUUCAGUCUGGAUAAUAGCUUGGGUUUGCCAGCAAGCGGUUAGUUUCAGGGCACGGUGCUGGAAGACCUACUUAAGGCUCUGUACUGUCGUAAUUCGCUGCCUGUUUGCUGGGGUUGAGUGGCACUUAAGUCUUGACAGGAGGACUGACUUGAAGUGGGAAAACAUGGCGUAACACCGCCUGUACUGCCUCUCUCGUUGCGGUGUGGAUGUCAAAACUCGUAAGUGUGAGAAGUUUUGCUUGUUAGCAAGCAUUGUGUAAAUAAUCAACCAUUUCAAGAAUUUACAUGAGUUUUCUUUGAACCUGUUAUCUUGAAAGGGAAGAGUCAGACAAAUUAGGGCUUCUGAAAAACCAAAAUAAUGAUCUUCUACUCGACAUUUGUACUGCAGUUGGUAAAGACUUUUCCACCACGGCUUUACUUUUUCAUUUUCAGGCUCUGGGCAAUUCAGUGAGGAGCCUCCAGGAAAAUUUCACUCAUUGCAUAAAGUUCAAUAUGUCCAACCUUUGACCCCUGUCUUUUCUCAGACUUUGACUCAAUCCCACUCUGCCUGCUUUCUCCCAAAGCCUUGAGAAGUGAUUCAUUUGCGUCCCGGUGAAAUUCAAUGCACGCACAGAAUCUCUUUGCACUGAACUGUGGCUGGUGGGCUUUCACCCUUUGGAGUAGCGAAGUCUUCAUUGCUGCAUUGCCAAAAUAUCAUCACAUUACUGAAGGUCUUGGUCUGUUUUUUAUUAAUAUCUUCUCAUACUGAGGAAGGGCUGCUGAGAUGU
rnacentral:lncRNA from 1 species